rnacentral:rRNA from 1 species
UUCAUGCCGCGUGUGUGAAGAAGGCCUUCGGGUUGUAAAGCACUUUUGUCAGGAACGAAACGGUGGGGGCUGAUAUCCUCUGCUAAUGACGGUACCUGAAGAAUAAGCACCGGCUAACUACGUGCCAGCAGCCGCGGUAAUACGUAGGGUGCGAGCGUUAAUCGGAAUUACUGGGCGUAAAGCGUGCGCAGGCGGUUGUGCAAGACAGAUGUGAAAUCCCCGGGCUUAACCUGGGAAUUGCAUCUGUGACUGCACGGCUAGAGUGUGUCAGAGGGGGGUAGAAUUCCACGUGUAGCAGUGAAAUGCGUAGAUAUGUGGAGGAAUACCGAUGGCGAAGGCAGCCCCCUGGGAUAACACUGACGCUCAUGCACGAAAGCGUGGGGAGCAAACAGGAUUAGAUACCCUGGUAGUCCACGCCCUAAACGAUGUCUACUAGUUGUCGGGUCUUAAUUGACUUGGUAACGCAGCUAACGCGUGAAGUAGACCGCCUGGGGAGUACGGUCGCAAGAUUAAAACUCAAAGGAAUUGACGGGGACCCGCACAAGCGGUGGAUGAUGUGGAUUAAUUCGAUGCAACGCGAAAAACCUUACCUACCCUUGACAUGUACGGAACCCUGCUGAGAGGUGGGGGUGCUCGACAG